UCCGAGUUGUCCCCGGCAGUCCCUCUAGAGUCCCCGGCAUUACCCGCUGGCAAUUAAAGGCAGGGGUUGCGCUCGUUGCGGCACUUAACCCAACAUCUCACGACACGAGCUGACGACAACCAUGCACCACCUGUGCACGACCCUAAAAGGACCUGCCAUCUCUGACAGAUUUCCGUGCAUGUCAAGCCUAGGUAAGGUUCUUCGCGUUGCAUCGAAUUAAGCAACAUGCUCCGCCGCUUGUGCGGGCCCCCGUCAAUUCCUUUGAGUUUUAGCCUUGCGGCCGUACUCCCCAGGCGGGGCGCUUAAUGCGUUAGCUGCGGCACGGAGACCGUGGAAUGGACCCCACACCUAGCGCCCAACGUUUACGGUGUGGACUA
rnacentral:misc_RNA from 1 species